AACAAAGCACACACGGCGAGAUAGAGAUAGGGAGAGGGGUUGAGAGAGGGAGAGGGGAUGGGGAGGAGGGCGUGCUGUGCCAAGGAAGGGGUGAAGCGAGGGGCCUGGACGAGCAAGGAGGACGAGAUCCUGGCUUCCUACGUCAAGGCCCAUGGCGAAGGCAGGUGGAGGGAGCUCCCGCAGCGAGCUGGUACUACUCGCGAGAUGUUAGCUACCGAUCCAUCGUAAACCGUUCUGGUUCUAUCCAAUGGAGAGCUGGAAUGGAAGUGACGCAUGCUGCUAACUGAAUGAAUCUGCAUGCAGGUCUGCGGCGGUGCGGCAAGAGCUGCCGGCUGCGGUGGCUGAACUACCUCCGGCCGAACAUCAAGCGGGGCAACAUCUCCGACGACGAGGAGGAGCUCAUCGUCAGGCUCCACGGCCUGCUCGGCAACAGGUGGUCCAUCAUCGCCGGCAGGCUGCCCGGCCGAACAGACAACGAAAUCAAGAACUACUGGAACAGCACGCUCGGCAGGAAGGCGCUCCCCGCCCGCCCCGCCAUUGCCGCGGCGAGGACCGUCGCCUCCGGCUCCUCCAGCUCCACGGGGAGCGCCGCGGCGGCGCUGUCUACCUCCGUCCCUGCCGUCCUCCAUGGCGCGGCGCCUUCGUCGCCGGCCGGCGCGGUGUGGGCGCCCAAGCCCGUGAGGUGCACGGGCGGCCUCUUCUUCCGCAGGGAGCAGGAGACGCCGCCGCCCGCGCCGGUCGUCGAGGAGACGCGGGCCGGAGGAGAUCAAGAGGGAGACGCCUGCAGCGGCAGCAGCUCGGAGACGUCGUCGGCCGAGCCGUGCUCGUCGGGGUCGGGCGGCGGAGACUGGAUGGACGACGUGAGAGCCCUGGCGUCGUUCCUGGAGUCCGACGAGGAAUGGCUCAAGUCCCUGCACAUGGCCGGUUAAUUAACCUCUCACACGUGAUCGAUCUGGUUCAGUCACAUGUACGUGGGUGCGCCGCUGCACGUACGCUUUUCGAAAAGGAAACUGUAUGUAUGCUUGAGCAGUGUGCAUACGUACAAACGUACUUACGCCCGCGCGUAUGUGGCGGUACGUGGCUGGCUAGCUCCCGUACGUUACGACUGUACUGAGUUUUUUAUUUAUAAACUACGACUGUACUGAGUUGUUCAUA
rnacentral:rRNA from 1 species